UAGUGGCAGACGGGUGAGUAAUGCGUAGGAAUCUGCCUAGUAGUAUGGAAUAGCUAUUAGAAAUGAUAGGUAAUACUGUAUAAUCCCUGCGGGGGAAAGAUUUAUCGCUAUUAGAUGAGCCUACGUUAGAUUAGCUAGUUGGUAAGGUAAUGGCUUACCAAGGCAAUGAUCUAUAGCUGGUCUGAGAGGACGAUCAGCCACACUGGAACUGAGAUACGGUCCAGACUCCUACGGGAGGCAGCAGUGGGGAAUAUUGGACAAUGGGCGAAAGCCUGAUCCAGCUAUGCCGCGUGAGUGAAGAAGGCCUUCUGGGUUGUAAAACUCUUAAUAGG
rnacentral:rRNA from 1 species